CGGAGAGGUAGCAUGAGAAACGGCUACCACAUCUAAGGAAGGCAGCAGGCGCGCAAAUUACCCAAUCCUUACACAGGGAGGUAGUGACAAGAAAUAACAAUGCGUUACAAUGUUCUUACGUAAUUGGAAUGAUUUGACUGUAAACUUGUUUGAGAGUACCAAUUGGAGGGCAAGUCUGGUGCCAGCAGCCGCGGUAAUUCCAGCUCCAAUAGCGUAUGUCUAAAAUUGUUGCGGUUAAAACGCUCGUAGUUGUACGUUCGUCCAGGGCAAUCGGAUUUUUCGCACAGAAGGUUCCGAGUGGUCUUUGAAAUUAUCUUACAAACCGGUCUCUUGCUGAUCCCGCGGACAGGGAUACUUGUACCUUGAAGAAAUUAGAGUGCUUCCAGCCGAUUAUUGUGUGAAUAUUAUCGCAUGGAAUAGUUGGAGAAGCCUCUGUUUCUAUUAGAGAUUUGUAGAGCAGGUGUAAUAGUUGAGAGGAACAGAAGGGGGCAUUCAUAUUUGCAUGUGAGAGGUGGAAUUCUUGGAUCUUGUGAAGGUGGACUACUGCGAAAGCAUUUGUCAAGAAUGUUUUCAUUAAUCAAGAACGAAAGUUAGGGGAUCGAAGACGAUUAGAUACCGUCCUAGUCUUAACCAUAAACCAUGCCUUUUGGAGAUCAGGUGAACCUCGAACUCAGAGGAUUUUGGCAUCCUAGGGGAAAUUAAAAUUUUUGGGUUCCGGGGGGAGUAUGGUCGCAAGGCUGAAACUUAAAGGAAUUGACGGAAGGGCACCACCAGGAGUGGAGCUUGCGGCUUAAUUUGACUCAACGCGAGAAAUCUCACCAGGUCCAGACAUGGGAAGGAAUGGCAGAGAAGCAGCUUUUUCUCGAUUACAUGGGUGGCGGUGCAUGGCCGUUGUCAGUUGGUGGGGUGUAUCUGUCUGAUUGAUUCGGAUACCGAACGAGACCUCGAGCCUACUAAAUAAUUAGCACUGUGCGCUAAGUGAUGAUAUGUUAGAGGGACUUUUCCUCCCAAAGAAAGGAAGUAUGAGCACUAUAACAAGUCUGUGAUACCCUUAGAUGUUCUGGCCUGCACCCGCGCUACACUCACAUAGACAGAGAGAUGUUCCUAUGGCGAGGGGAAUGGAGAAACUUGAGAGGAUAAGUCGUGAUGGGUAUAGCUUAUAUCAAUUAUCGACCAUAAACGAGGAAUUAGUAGUAAUCGUAAGGAAUGUAACUUAUCGCUGAUUAUCGUCCUCUGACACUUUGUCCACACCGACUCGUCGCUGCUAGCGUUCGAGUUGUCCGGUAAAUUAUGCAGACUGCAUGCGGGUGAGAGACGUGCCAUCGAAAAGCAUUGUGAACCUUAUCACUUAGAGGAAGGAGAAGUCGUAACAAGGUAACC
rnacentral:rRNA from 1 species